UUGAGGCAAGAAGUAUUGCUGGUGAUUAAAUUCAUCCUUUUGCUAGUGCAGUACAAUGAAUAUCUAGCUAAUUAAAUAUUUAUUUGUUGAUAUGAAAAACUUCCUCGUUUAAUAUUCAAGUCAGCAGUUUUAUAACCAAAUCACACAAUGUUAUUAAAACUUAAUUGUGAUGUCAGAGCGUUGCUAAAUUCAGACCUUCAUCCAUAUUUUUGGUGUGCAAGUGAACCUUAUAUUUGGUAUCCAUGAUUGUGUACAAAAUUCAAUAAGUGAACAUGUGGCUGGUGCUAACUCAUUCUCUGGAUGAAUGGGAAUUGUAAUGGACUGGAAUUCACGUAACUAAUACUAAACCUCACUUUUUCUGGUUCAACUGGGUAUGUAUGCAACUUGCGAGCAGUGAUGUUUCUCCUCCGUUUCCAUGGCAAUAUUACUUGCGCCAUUUCUGCGAUACUUUUUGUAAUACUUUUUUUUGCAUAAUUCCUCAAUUCUUACUGAAUACUCUGCGAACACAACUUACUCUAUGAUCAAUAAAAACAUUUAAAUUAAGUCUUGCGUCACAAUCUA